ACGACCUCCUUCUCCUCAUCGAAACUGUAGCGACCUCAUUGGGGUCAAAUGUUUCACCUACCGCAACUGCUUCAUCACUUUCCCUCCUCCAAUGUUUCUCAUUCUUCUUCCCGUUCCACUGCUUUGACUCUCAUUCCCACUCCUCAUUCUUCUUCGCUAUUUCUCAAAAACUUUUCUUCUUUGUUUCUCAACCCUAUAAAAUUGACAAGAUUUUGACAAGCUCCAAGAUUUCGUCCAAUCCAACACUCCAACAUUGUACUAAUUGUUUUCUUCUCUAAGAUUUUUUUAUUCUUCGACUUCAUUUGCACAAAAUUAAGGUAUGCUAGUGUAACCCUCUUUGUGAAUCAAUCGACCAAUCAUAUUGCACUAGAAAUAUGGGCUUCAAUGUCAGUUGGAAAAAAUGAAAACGACGUGUUUAUGUGGGCACGCUACCACCAACAGCCAACGAACAGUAGAGGCAGCUUGACAUUGAGUUUAGGGAAUUUGCUAAUGAACAGAGACAGUGAUGAACAGAGACAGAGAAUGAUUGAAGUUAUAUCGGGUUGAAAGCUGAGCGAUUGUGUAGAUAGCCAGACGAUCGUUGAAGGUUGAAGAUUAAAGAUUGAGAAGACGUUUAGAAUUUUUCUUAUUUACGUCUUGUUUUAGGAUCUUUUUUCAUGUAUUGUUGUAGAAUGUAUAUAUAAACACAAUAUUAAGUUUUCAUUUUGUGUAUACAAAUGUAAAAGAUAAAUAUUAUAGUUUCUAA